rnacentral:rRNA from 1 species
UGGGGAAUAUUGGACAAUGGGCGAAAGCCUGAUCCAGCCAUGCCGCGUGUUUGAAGAAGGUCUUCGUAUUGUAAAGCACUUUAAGUUGGGAGGAAGGGCAGUAAGCGAAUACCUUGCUGUUUUGACGUUACCGACAGAAUAAGCACCGGCUAACUCUGUGCCAGCAGCCGCGGUUAUACAGAGGGUGCAAGCGUUAAUCGGAAUUACUGGGCGUAAAGCGCGCGUAGGUGGUUCGUUAAGUUGAAUGUGAAAGCCCCGGGCUCAACCUGGGAACUGCAUCCAAAACUGGCGAGCUAGAGUAGGGCAGAGGGUGGUGGAAUUUCCUGUGUAGCGGUGAAAUGCGUAGAUAUAGGAAGGAACACCAGUGGAGAAGGCGACCACCUGGGCUCAUACUGACACUGAGGUGCGAAAGCGUGGGGAGCAAACAGG